rnacentral:rRNA from 1 species
ACAGCAGCAGCCGCGGGAAAACGAAGGGGGCUAGCGUUGUUCGGAAUUACUGGGCGUAAAGCGCACGUAGGCGGACAUUUAAGUCAGGGGUGAAAUCCCGGGGCUCAACCCCGGAACUGCCUUUGAUACUGGGUGUCUAGAGUAUGGAAGAGGUGAGUGGAAUUCCGAGUGUAGAGGUGAAAUUCGUAGAUAUUCGGAGGAACACCAGUGGCGAAGGCGGCUCACUGGUCCAUUACUGACGCUGAGGUGCGAAAGCGUGGGGAGCAAACAGGAUUAGAUACCCCAGUAGUCCCUGUCUCUUAUAC